GAUGAACGCUGGCGGCGUGCCUAAUACAUGCAAGUCGAGCGAACAGACGAGGAGCUUGCUCCUCUGACGUUAGCGGCGGACGGGUGAGUAACACGUGGAUAACCUACCUAUAAGACUGGGAUAACUUCGGGAAACCGGAGCUAAUACCGGAUAAUAUAUUGAACCGCAUGGUUCAAUAGUGAAAGACGGUUUUGCUGUCACUUAUAGAUGGAUCCGCGCCGCAUUAGCUAGUUGGUAAGGUAACGGCUUACCAAGGCGACGUUGCGUAGCCGACCUGAGAGGGGGACGGCCACAAUGGAACGUGAGACGCGGCCAGGCCCCCUGGGGGGGGAGCAGGUGGGAAUUCUCCCGAAGUGGGGGAAGCCCGGACGGGGCAGCGCGGGGGGGGGGAGAAAGGUCUUGGGAUCUAAAAACUUUUUUAUGGGGGAAAAAAAAAGGUGAAAGUAAAUAGGCACUUCUGGGGGUACCUAAAUAGGAAGCCCGGGACAAGGUCGGUC
rnacentral:rRNA from 1 species